AGAAUUUGUACAUUCAUCAUUCUUGAUUGUAAAGGUAAAGUGUUAAAUUUUGAAUGCUCCCUUCAUGAAUCCGUAGGUACGUUCACAACAGAAAUAGACUUCUACCGAUUUAUCUUACAACAGACGGAAGUCUUUCAGUCGAAAAGGCUCCAAUUCAAUGAACUCCAGGGUCUACACAAAUAAGAAAGCAAUUCACCAAGAGCUAGAAAUCUCAGCAUCUUUCUAGUUUUAUAGAAGUUGAAUGAAGCAAGGGAAAGCUGCUGAUCAAGUUUCUCACUAAAGCAUGUAUAAUAGCAGAAGGCACGAGACUCGGUCUCUUUAGCAACAGAAGAGUAUCUUUCACCUAGUAGAAACACCAAGACAACACAAGCAUGUAUGCAGUUAGUUCUCAUAACCUAUACAGCUAACUAAUUAUGUAUGACCUGAGCAUCCAUGAA
rnacentral:misc_RNA from 1 species